GUGAAACCGCGAAUGGCUCAUUAAAUCAGCUUUGGUUUCUUAGACCUUACCCAUUACUUGGAUAACUAUAGUAAUUCUAGAGCUAAUACAUGCCAAUGUGUCGUUGCUGUUUUAGGCAUCGACGGUUUGAUUAAAUCAAAGCCAACCAGUCCGUUCGGGCUGUUAGCUUGAUGACUCUAAAUGACUUACCUAAUCGCAUGACCUUGAGUCGGCGAUGUAUCUUUCAAAUGUCUGACCUAUCAACUUUCGAUGGUGAGUGAUAUGCUCACCAUGGUGAUAACGGGUAACGGGGAAUCAGUGUUCGAUUCCGGAGAGGGAGCCUUAGAAACGGCUACCACAUCUAAGGAAGGCAGCAGGCGCGCAAAUUGCCCACUCUCAGUGAGAGGAGGCAGUGACGAUAAAUAACAAUGCAAGACUCAUAAUGAGGCCUUGCAAUUGGAAUGAGUACAAUGUAAAAUCCUUAAUGAGGAUCAAUUGGAGGGCAAGUCUGGUGCCAGCAGCCGCGGUAAUUCCAGCUCCAAUAGCGUAUAUUAAAUUUGCUGCAGUUGAAAAGCUCGUAGUUGGAUAUGAGGUUUGGGACGUCGGUUUCGUUUCAUAGCAAAUACCGUUCGUUCUGACCUUAAAUAGCCGUUAGUUGCUUUGCGUGCUCUUUACUGAGUGCUGCAGGGUGCACGGCAAUUUUACUUUGAACAAAUUAAAGUGCUCAAAGCAGGCUUUUUUUAGCUUGAAUAGUUUUGCAUGGAAUAAUGA
rnacentral:rRNA from 1 species